rnacentral:rRNA from 1 species
UAGGGAAUCUUCGGCAAUGGGGGCAACCCUGACCGAGCAACGCCGCGUGAGUGAAGAAGGUUUUCGGAUCGUAAAGCUCUGUUGUAAGAGAAGAACGUGUGUGAGAGUGGAAAGUUCACACAGUGACGGUAACUUACCAGAAAGGGACGGCUAACUACGUGCCAGCAGCCGCGGUAAUACGUAGGUCCCGAGCGUUGUCCGGAUUUAUUGGGCGUAAAGCGAGCGCAGGCGGUUUCAUAAGUCUGAAGUUAAAGGCAGUGGCUUAACCAUUGUUCGCUUUGGAAACUGUUAAACUUGAGUGCAGAAGGGGAGAGUGGAAUUCCCUGUGUAGCGGUGAAAUGCGUAGAUAUAUGGAGGAACACCGGUGGCGAAAGCGGCUCUCUGGUCUGUAACUGACGCUGAGGCUCGAAAGCGUGGGGAGCAAACAGG